rnacentral:rRNA from 1 species
GGAUGAACGCUGGCGGCGUGCCUAAUACAUGCAAGUCGAGCGAACGGACGAGAAGCUUGCUUCUCUGAUGUUCGCGGCGGACGGGUGAGUAACACGUGGAUAACCUACCUAUAAGACUGGGAUAACUUCGGGAAACCGGAGCUAAUACCGGAUAAUAUUUUGAACCGCAUGGUUCAAAAGUGAAAGACGGUCUUGCUGUCACUUAUAGAUGGAUCCGCGCUGCAUUAGCUAGUUGGUAAGGUAACGGCUUACCAAGGCAACGAUGCAUAGCCGACCUGAGAGGGUGAUCGGCCACACUGGAACUGAGACACGGUCCAGACUCCUACGGGAGGCAGCAGUAGGGAAUCUUCCGCAAUGGGCGAAAGCCUGACGGAGCAACGCCGCGUGAGUGAUGAAGGUCUUCGGAUCGUAAAACUCUGUUAUUAGGGAAGAACAUAUGUGUAAGUAACUGUGCACAUCUUGACGGUACCUAAUCAGAAAGCCACGGCUAACUACGU